ACAAUNNGAAUGAGACACGGCCCAGACUCAUACGGGAGGCAGCAGNGGGGCAUNANGCGCAANGGGCGAAAGCCUGACGCAGUCACUCCGCGUGCGGGAAGAAGGCCCUCGGGUUGUAAACCGNUUUCAGAAGGCNCGNAAAUGACGGUANUUUCAGAAGAAGGUGCGGCCAACUACGUGCCAGCAGCCGCGGUGACACGUAGGCACCAAGCGUUGUCCGGAUUUAUUGGGCGUAAAGAGCUCGUAGGCGGUUCGGNAAGUNGNGUGUGNAAAUUUUGGGCUCAACCCAANGCGUGCACUCGAUANUGCCAUGACUAGAGUUCGGUAGGGGAGUGGGGAAUUCUUAGUGUAGCGGUGAAAUGCGCAGAUAUUAGGAGGAACACCGGUGGCGAAGGCGCCACUNCUGGGC
rnacentral:rRNA from 1 species